rnacentral:rRNA from 1 species
UAGCUAGUUGGUGAGGUAAAGGCUUACCAAGGCGACGAUCUGUAGCGGGUCUGAGAGGAUGAUCCGCCACACUGGAACUGAGACACGGUCCAGACUCCUACGGGAGGCAGCAGUGGGGAAUUUUGGACAAUGGGGGCAACCCUGAUCCAGCCAUGCCGCGUGAGUGAAGAAGGCCUUCGGGUUGUAAAGCUCUUUCGGCCGGGAAGAAAUCGCAUGGGCCAAUACCCUGUGUGGAUGACGGUACCGGAAUAAGAAGCACCGGCUAACUACGUGCCAGCAGCCGCGGUAAUACGUAGGGUGCGAGCGUUAAUCGGAAUUACUGGGCGUAAAGCGUGCGCAGGCGGUUUUGUAAGACAGGCGUGAAAUCCCCGGGCUUAACCUGGGAACUGCGUUUGUGACUGCAAGGCUAGAGUACGGCAGAGGGGGGUGGAAUUCCACGUGUAGCAGUGAAAUGCGUAGAGAUGUGGAGGAACACCAAUGGCGAAGGCAGCCCCCUGGGUCGAUACUGACGCUCAUGCACGAAAGCGUGGGUAGCAAACAGGAUUAGAUACCCUGGUAGUCCACGCCCUAAACUAUGUCAACUAGGUGUUGGGUGGGUAAAACCAUUUAGUACCGUAGCUAACGCGUGAAGUUGACCGCCUGGGGAGUACGGCCGCAAGGUUAAAACUCAAAGGAAUUGACGGGGACCCGCACAAGCGGUGGAUGAUGUGGAUUAAUUCGAUGCAACGCGAAAAACCUUACCUACCCUUGACAUGCCAGGAACUUGCCAGAGAUGGCUUGGUGCCCGAAAGGGAGCCUGGACACAGGUGCUGCAUGGCUGUCGUCAGCUCGUGUCGUGAGAUGUUGGGUUAAGUCCCGCAACGAGCGCAACCCUUGUCGUUAAUUGCCAUCAUUUAGUUGGGCACUUUAACGAGACUGCCGGUGACAAACCGGAGGAAGGUGGGGAUGACGUCAAGUCCUCAUGGCCCUUAUGGGUAGGGCCUCACACGUCAUACAAUGGUCGGUACAAAGGGUUGCCAAGCCGCGAGGCGGAGCCAAUCCCAGAAAGCCGAUCGUAGUCCGGAUUGCAGGCUGCAACUCGCCUGCAUGAAGUCGGAAUCGCUAGUAAUCGUGGAUCAGCAUGUCACGGUGAAUACGUUCCCGGGUCUUGUACACACCGCCCGUCACACCAUGGGAGCGGGUUCCGCCAGAAGUAGGUAGCCUAACCGCAAGGGGGGCGCUUACCACGGCGGGGUUCGUGACUGGGGUGAAGUCGAAACAAGGUAGCCGUAGGGGAACCUGCGGCUG